GGCUUCCCUGCCCUCUGUGCAGCCAAAAGAGGUAAAUGCACGACUUGCAAGCUGGCGCACCAGGUGAAAAGAGCGGCUGCGCCUGCAGAGACUUUCUUGCAAAAAUGCCUGUUUGGGAUUCCUCAGAGUACAGACAAAAAGGAAGGCUUGAUCAGCAUGUGGUGGAUCUGAAGAUUCAAAGAGGUGCCACAGCUCAAAAGUAGACAUUUUGGUAAAUGUGAAGAAGUGAGAUUCAAUGAAGAUGAUAAGAAAUGAAAAGUGUUACCAAAAAAUAUGAAACAAUAUUAAUAAUAACCACCACAACAAUAAGAACAAUGCUGAAGCAACCUCUUCCAAGUUAUCAGGACAAGACCAUGUGA